AACGAACGCUGGCGGCAGGCUUAACACAUGCAAGUCGAGCGCAUCCUUCGGGGUGAGCGGCAGACGGGUGAGUAACGCGUGGGAACGUACCCUUUCCUACGGAAUAGCUCCGGGAAACUGGAAUUAAUACCAUAUACGCCCUUAGGGGGAAAGAUUUAUCGGGGAAGGAUCGGCCCGCGUUGGAUUAGCUAGUUGGUGGGGUAAAGGCCUACCAAGGCGACGAUCCAUAGCUGGUCUGAGAGGAUGAUCAGCCACAUUGGGACUGAGACACGGCCCAAACUCCUACGGGAGGCAGCAGUGGGGAAUAUUGGACAAUGGGCGUAAGCUUGAUCCAGCCAUGCCGCGUGAGUGAUGAAGGCCUUAGGGUUGUAAAGCUCAUUCAGUAGGGAAGAUAAUGACGGUACCUACAGAAGAAGCCCCGGCUAACUUCGUGCCAGCCGCCGCGGUAA
rnacentral:rRNA from 1 species